rnacentral:tRNA from 1 species
GCACCUGUGGCUCAGUGAGUAGGGCACCAGCCUCAUAUGCUGAGGGUGGCGGGUUCAAACCCGGCCCUGGUCA